rnacentral:rRNA from 1 species
AUUGAACGCUGGCGGCAGGCCUAACACAUGCAAGUCGAGCGGAUGAGAGGAGCUUGCUCCUGGAUUCAGCGGCGGACGGGUGAGUAAUGCCUAGGAAUCUGCCUGGUAGUGGGGGACAACGUUUCGAAAGGAACGCUAAUACCGCAUACGUCCUACGGGAGAAAGCAGGGGACCUUCGGGCCUUGCGCUAUCAGAUGAGCCUAGGUCGGAUUAGCUAGUUGGUGAGGUAAUGGCUCACCAAGGCGACGAUCCGUAACUGGUCUGAGAGGAUGAUCAGUCACACUGGAACUGAGACACGGUCCAGACUCCUACGGGAGGCAGCAGUGGGGAAUAUUGGACAAUGGGCGAAAGCCUGAUCCAGCCAUGCCGCGUGUGUGAAGAAGGUCUUCGGAUUGUAAAGCACUUUAAGUUGGGAGGAAGGGUUGUAGAUUAAUACUCUGCAAUUUUGACGUUACCGACAGAAUAAGCACCGGCUAACUCUGUGCCAGCAGCCGCGGUAAUACAGAGGGUGCAAGCGUUAAUCGGAAUUACUGGGCGUAAAGCGCGCGUAGGUGGUUUGUUAAGUUGGAUGUGAAAUCCCCGGGCUCAACCUGGGAACUGCAUCCAAAACUGGCAAGCUAGAGUAUGGUAGAGGGUGGUGGAAUUUCCUGUGUAGCGGUGAAAUGCGUAGAUAUAGGAAGGAACACCAGUGGCGAAGGCGACCACCUGGACUGAUACUGACACUGAGGUGCGAAAGCGUGGGGAGCAGACAGGAUUAGAUACCCUGGUAGUCCACGCCGUAAACGAUGUCAACUAGCCGUUGGGAGCCUUGAGCUCUUAGUGGCGCAGCUAACGCAUUAAGUUGACCGCCUGGGGAGUACGGCCGCAAGGUUAAAACUCAAAUGAAUUGACGGGGGCCCGCACAAGCGGUGGAGCAUGUGGUUUAAUUCGAAGCAACGCGAAGAACCUUACCAGGCCUUGACAUCCAAUGAACUUUCCAGAGAUGGAUUGGUGCCUUCGGGAGCAUUGAGACAGGUGCUGCAUGGCUGUCGUCAGCUCGUGUCGUGAGAUGUUGGGUUAAGUCCCGUAACGAGCGCAACCCUGGUCCUUAGUUACCAGCACGUUAUGGUGGGCACUCUAAGGAGACUGCCGGUGACAAACCGGAGGAAGGUGGGGAUGACGUCAAGUCAUCAUGGCCCUUACGGCCUGGGCUACACACGUGCUACAAUGGUCGGUACAGAGGGUUGCCAAGCCGCGAGGUGGAGCUAAUCCCACAAAACCGAUCGUAGUCCGGAUCGCAGUCUGCAACUCGACUGCGUGAAGUCGGAAUCGCUAGUAAUCGCGAAUCAGAAUGUCGCGGUGAAUACGUUCCCGGGCCU